UGGGGAAUAUUGCACAAUGGAGGAAACUCUGAUGCAGCGACGCCGCGUGAGUGAAGAAGUAUUUCGGUAUGUAAAGCUCUAUCAGCAGGGAAGAUAGUGACGGUACCUGACUAAGAAGCACCGGCUAAAUACGUGCCAGCAGCCGCGGUAAUACGUAUGGUGCAAGCGUUAUCCGGAUUUACUGGGUGUAAAGGGAGUGUAGGUGGUCUGACAAGUCAGAGGUGAAAGCCCGGGGCUCAACCCCGGGACUGCCUUUGAAACUGUCAGACUAGAGUGCAGGAGAGGUAAGUAGAAUUCCUAGUGUAGCGGUGAAAUGCGUAGAUAUUAGGAGGAACACCAGUGGCGAAGGCGGCUUACUGGACUGUAACUGACACUGAGGCUCGAAAGCGUGGGGAGCAAACAG
rnacentral:rRNA from 1 species